rnacentral:tRNA from 1 species
UCCCUUGUGGCUCAGCUGGUAGAGAAUCCUCCUGCAAUGAGGGAAACCUGGGUUCGAUCCCUAGGUUGGGAA